rnacentral:rRNA from 1 species
CCUACGGGAGGCAGCAGUGAGGAAUAUUGGUCAAUGGUCGGGAGACUGAACCAGCCAAGCCGCGUGAGGGAUGAAGGUACAGAGUAUCGUAAACCUCUUUUGUCAGGGAACAAAGGCGGGGACGUGUCCCCGGAUGAGUGUACCUGAAGAAAAAGCAUCGGCUAACUCCGUGCCAGCAGCCGCGGUAAUACGGAGGAUGCGAGCGUUAUCCGGAUUUAUUGGGUUUAAAGGGUGCGAAGGCGGUCUGUUAAGUCAGCGGUAAAAGCCGGGGGUUCAACCCCGGCCCGCCGUUGAAACUGGCAGUCUCGAGUUGGAGAGAAGUAUGCGGAAUGCGCGGUGUAGCGGUGAAAUGCAUAGAUAUCGCGCAGAACUCCGAUUGCGAAGGCAGCAUGCCGGCUCCACACUGACGCUGAGGCACGAAAGCGUGGGUAUCGAACAGGAUUAGAUACCCGUGUAGUC